UACUCCUACGGGAGGCAGCAGUGGGGAAUAUUGGACAAUGGGCGCAAGCCUGAUCCAGCAAUGCCGCGUGAGUGAUGAAGGCCUUAGGGUUGUAAAGCUCUUUCGCACGUGACGAUGAUGACGGUAACGGAGAAGAGCCCGAUC
rnacentral:rRNA from 1 species